UCCUCCGCCGUGUUGGAAAGGAAAGGGAGACUGCUUUACUGGAAGCUUCCGGUAUGGGAGAGGCGGGAAUGACUCUGAAAGAACUUAGAAGAGUCUUUCCGAGUCCUCCCAUACCGCAGAUUUCCAGUAGUUCCUCCCUUUACUUAUCUUCACUAUUCCAGCAGCUCUGGA
rnacentral:pre_miRNA from 1 species